UGGCGGACGGGUGAGUAAUGUCUGGGAAACUGCCCGAUGGAGGGGGAUAACUACUGGAAACGGUAGCUAAUACCGCAUAACGUCGCAAGACCAAAGAGGGGACCUUCGGGCCUCUUGCCAUCAGAUGAACCCAUAUGGGAUUAGCUUGUAGGUAAGGUAACGGCUUACCUAGGCGACGAUCCCUAGCUGGUCUGAGAGGAUGAUCAGCCACACUGGGACUGAGACACGGCCCAG
rnacentral:rRNA from 1 species